rnacentral:lncRNA from 1 species
UCAACGAAGGAUUCCUAAUUGAAGAUGGAUUCCUAAUCACAUGAGGAUUCCUAGAAGAACAAGGAUUCCUACUUGAAGUAGGAAAGUUAAGCCAAGGUUUCCUACUUUGGUUUGAUUUUUCCUAAUUGUCCCUAAAAGUUUCAGCAAUUAUGAAGGCUUUCUAAGCAUUCUAGGACACAAAACAAAAGCCUAGAACCCUUAUGAACCCUUGCCGCACCCCCCUUUGCAUUUCCUCUUCCCUAUUUCCUGUUUUUAUGCUUUAAAACACCUUCCUUUUGUGUUUUAAACCCUAGCCGAAUUUCCCUUGCCCUUUCCCUUAAUUUUCUGAUUUGUUUCCUUAAUUCUAGAAGCUUUAAACUUAAUUCCUGAUUACCUAAUUAGCCUAGGGUUUUUAAUUUCCUAAUCCCUUUAAAUAAACAUGUUUGUGCAGCGACAAACAUAGCCAUUCAUCCAGAAAAUAAUCCUUCACGCCAGAAACCAUUCUCCAUCUUCAACAGCACCUAUCCUUCACCAUUCACCAUAUUUUCUGACCAAAAACCACCCUAGCCGUCCCAUACACCUAUCCCAGCCAUAAACCCAUCGUUCUACACCAUUCAUAACCCUCAAAACUCACCCAUUCGUGUGCAGCAGCAAGGAGAAAGAAGGAAGGACUCUUGGAUGCUUAAGCUUCAUCGUUGGUGCAUUCUAGGUGUAAUUCGUUUUAUGAUUUCAAUGUUUAAUUUCUUUUCCUUUCGUUUUGCUACGAACAUGAGUGGCUAAACCCCUAUUGGUUAGGGGUGAUUUCGAAGCCAUGACUAUGUGUGCAAUUUGAUUUGAUAAAUUCCAGUUAUGAGUUCUUGAAUCGUGAAUGCAAUUGGCUUAACUGUGCGAGUAAUAACUUAUUUGUGUUUGUUAAUUAGGGAUCGACACUUAAUUGGCUUGCAUGAAUAUGUUGCUAGAAUAUAAGGUUGUUUCACAUAAUCGUCACACACUUAUAUUCAUAUGUAGUGAAGGUCGCUAGUCACGAUCGCGUUAAGUCCAAUUCCUAGCAUGAGUGACAUGAUGUCAUAGUUGCUUGUGUUUUGUCAAUGCUUAUAGUUUUCAUUGAACGUAAUGAUCUUUGAUUGUAUCUUUAUUAUGAUGUCAUGU